UUUGUAAAAUCCAAAAAAUCAAAUUUAUAUACAAAAAUCGUUUUGUAAAAUACAAAAAAUCGAAUUUAUACACAAAAAUCAAAUUUGGAUACAAAAGUCGAUUUUAUAAAUACAAAAAUAAUAAAAAAUUUAUAAAAAAAUUCUAAAUCAAUUCAACAAAACAAAUUAUUCAACCAAAUCACAAUUCUAAACCUAUUAUACAACCAAAUCACAAUCCUAAACAAUCACCCUAACAAAAAUCUAUCAAAUCUACACAAAAACCUAACAAA
rnacentral:lncRNA from 1 species